rnacentral:rRNA from 1 species
AGAGUUUGAUCCUGGCUCAGAUUGAACGCUGGCGGAAUGCUUUACACAUGCAAGUCGAACGGCAGCACGGGUGCUUGCACCUGGUGGCGAGUGGCGAACGGGUGAGUAAUGCAUCGGAACGUACCGAGUAAUGGGGGAUAACGCAGCGAAAGUUGUGCUAAUACCGCAUACGCCCUGAGGGGGAAAGUGGGGGAUCGUAAGACCUCACGUUAUUCGAGCGGCCGACGUCUGAUUAGCUAGUUGGUGGGGUAAAGGCCUACCAAGGCGACGAUCAGUAGCGGGUCUGAGAGGAUGAUCCGCCACACUGGGACUGAGACACGGCCCAGACUCCUACGGGAGGCAGCAGUGGGGAAUUUUGGACAAUGGGGGCAACCCUGAUCCAGCCAUUCCGCGUGAGUGAAGAAGGCCUUCGGGUUGUAAAGCUCUUUCAGCUGGAACGAAACGGCACGCUCUAACAUAGCGUGCUAAUGACGGUACCAGCAGAAGAAGCACCGGCUAACUACGUGCCAGCAGCCGCGGUAAUACGUAGGGUGCGAGCGUUAAUCGGAAUUACUGGGCGUAAAGCGUGCGCAGGCGGAUUGUUAAGCAAGACGUGAAAUCCCCGGGCUUAACCUGGGAAUGGCGUUUUGAACUGGCAGUCUAGAGUGCGUCAGAGGGGGGUGGAAUUCCACGUGUAGCAGUGAAAUGCGUAGAGAUGUGGAGGAACACCGAUGGCGAAGGCAGCCCCCCUGGGAUGACACUGACGCUCAUGUACGAAAGCGCGGGUAGCAAACAGGAUUAGAUACCCCUGGUAGUCCACG